rnacentral:rRNA from 1 species
GACGAACGCUGGCGGCGUGCUUAACACAUGCAAGUCGAGCGGAAGGGCCCCUUCGGGGGUACUCGAGCGGCGAACGGGUGAGCAACACGUGAGUAAUCUGCCCUUGGCUUCGGGAUAGCCACCGGAAACGGUGAUUAAUACCGGAUAUGACCAGCUACUGCAUGGUGGUCGGUGGAAAGUUUUUCGGCCAGGGAUGUGCUCGCGGCCUAUCAGCUUGAUGGUGAGGUAACGGCUCACCAUGGCUUCGACGGGUAGCCGGCCUGAGAGGGUGACCGGUCACACUGGGACUGAGACACGGCCCAGACUCCUACGGGAGGCAGUAGUGGGGAAUAUUGGACAAUGGGCGGAAGCCUGAUCCAGCAACGCCGCGUGAGGGAUGACGGCCUUCGGGUUGUAAACCUCUUUCAGUACCGACGAAGCGCAAGUGACGGUAGGUACAGAAGAAGCACCGGCCAACUACGUGCCAGCAGCCGCCGUAACAC